rnacentral:lncRNA from 1 species
GAGGGAGGAGCCCCUGCCUUCUGGCGAAGGGAUUCCAAGAUGAGGGUCAAAUUUUCAACUCAAUAUGGGGAAUAAUAGAAGAUUCACUCCUCAACAUAGGGUCAGAGGUCAUCUCUAGUGACAUUUGCUUAGGGCCUAAAGACACUUGUCAUUCGGCAGAGUCAAAUCCAAAAGAAGUAAGGAGAUGGUUAAGAAGCCCAUGUAGAUUUGGGUGCCUUUUAUUCCCUUAUAAUUUUUUCAGCUUUGAUAGCAAAAGGGAUCUACUCUUGAAGGUCCAAAAAAUGUUGUUGCUAUAGGAACAGGUAAGCAGAUUAGACUUGAAAGACCAGUUUAGGAACAAAGAAUUUAAUAGUCAGAGCUAAAGCAAUUAACCAAGAAAAAUUUUAAAUAAACAUCUUCUGGGUUUCUUAUUUAUAUUUUAAUUCCAAGAAGAUAAAAUGCUAUUAUAGAAUGGGAGUACCACAUUUUAACAUUUUAAUUACACCAUGACUGGUAUAGACUAUACUUACACAAUCAGCAGAAAGGCCUUAUUAAUCAGAAGUACACAUUUCUAACUCUCUCUUGAUUGCAUUGUAAUUGACAAAUACAGCUUUAAAUUCAGCAAGAACAUGAGAAUCAUCUUUGAUUUUCCUAUAGUUCCUCAGAGGAGAACACAUCUAAAAUAAAAGAGACAGUGAACUGCAGAAAGUUUUUUGUAAUCAAUCUCUAUACCUAGAGACAUACAAGCAAAAUUGUAGAAGUAAACAGCGAAGUGUGUAGGCUGAUAAUUGUUAAUAUUUUAUGUUUUCCCAGUCCAACAUUCUUUGUGAACACAGAUAUGUGAGAAGAGAAUCAAAGACUCAGCAGCACUCCUACCUCACUGUGGAUGUUCUGUUUCUUCCUAUCAAGGAAUACACUGCAUCCCAACAUUAGGGAUUUGCUGAAAUCAUUAAAGUUCUGAACAGAACUUGCUAGACUCGUGAGGCUCAAAAAUGCUUCAUAAAGUGGCAUUGUGCUUCUCUCCCUUUCUGUUUCAUUUAAAAAGAGAACAUUCUUGAUAAAAUGAAUACAGUGUUUUCAUUCUAGCAAAUUUCUGCUGUCAGAGAUUACAUUUAUGGGACAGAGAGACUUUUUGGACACUACCUUUUCUCACAUAAUACCAGAGUCAAAUUGCAAAGAAGCAUGAGAAUGUCUGAGAGUGUGUGUGUGUGCAUACGCAUGCGCAUGUGUGUGCAUGUGUGCAUGCAUGUGUGUGUGUGUGUGUGUGUGUGUGUGUGUGUGUGGCAGGGGACAGUAUCGGAGGCUGGGGAAUGGGAAUAGGAAGAGGGGAGUGUGGCUAGAAUCUUACCAUUUCAUUCUCUUCUCCUUCAUUGAGCAGAGCGUGCUGGCCCUUCUCAAAGUGGUCCCCCAUGAAAAAGUGAUUCCACUCCUCCCUGGCCUUCCUGAGCAGGAGCCUCCGAGACCAACCUGCCGAGCCACCGCAGCUAGCCAGCUGACUGAAAGAGUUAAUGAUUC